rnacentral:rRNA from 1 species
UACGUAGGGGGCUAGCGUUGUCCGGAAUCAUUGGGCGUAAAGCGCGCGUAGGCGGCCCGGUAAGUCCGUUGUAAAAGUCAAAGGCUCAACCUUUGAAUGUCAGUGGAUACUGCCGGGCUAGAGUCCGGAAGAGGCGAGUGGAAUUCCUGGUGUAGCGGUGAAAUGCGCAGAUAUCAGGAAGAACACCCGUGGCGAAGGCGGCUCUCUGGAACGCAACUGACGCUGAGACGCGAAAGCGUGGGGAGCAAACAGG